rnacentral:lncRNA from 13 species
GCUUCAGCUAAUUUUAUUCAGUUAGAGCCUGUGCUCAAGAAAUUUAUACAUACAAAACUUCCGCCAAUUUGAUCCGCAUCACCGCAUCUAGCGUUCGUUAACAAAAUCAGUAUUUUCGAAUUAUGGAAUUGAUAUUCGAUAAAAGAAAAAAAAAUGUUACACUCUAUAAACAAAUCAUUUUAAUUAAUUUUCUUAAUUAUUUUGGAUAUAUUUACUCCUUAAUAUUAUAAUGCUGAGAUAUCUCUGUAUGAAUAUUUUUGCAACAAUAACUUCGACUCGAGACAUGAGGGAACCAAGAGAUGAUGAUUAUUAAGAAGUUGGACAUUUUAUAGGGCUUGAAAAAGGGCGUAAAGUUGAUCGAGUGAGUGGAGUAGGGAUUUUAGGUGGGAGAUUUGAGAUUUUUAUAGAUUUUGUCCUGUUCUGAAAAUUUGAUUUGUUGUUGGCUAAUUCACCAACGCUCUUUGUCAAUCAUCUUGUCGAAUGAUCUUUUAUUGGUUAAUUCUCCGUCUUCGUCCGAGUUUUCCUUAAUUUUAAGGGGGGGCGAAUCGUUAGAUCGCCCAAUCGUUCUGAAGAUUUCUUAAUUCUUAAAGAGGGGCGGGUUAUUAGAUCGUCCAAUCGUUCCGAGGAUUCCUUACCAAUCGCUCUCCCUUUUUGAAGGAUUAAUUUGCUUUAGUAAUCCGUGUCGUUUGUAUCGCUACCGAGGGUUCUUCGGGAUGCGCACCUGAACAAGCAAAGCCAGGACCAUAAAUCUUAAUUUAUAAAUUUCUUGUCCGAUGUCUAGGAUUAAUUUUAUCUAUUACUGGCGUCGGACUUAGAUAAAAUUAGGUUUUUUCUUUUUAGAUCCUGGCUUUGCCCGUUCUCACGGAUCGUUGCAUCAAAAUGACCAAAUAUUCCUCUCGAUUCUGUCAAUACAAGAUUUCUUCUUGUAUUUUCACCUUGUCGUUCCGGUUAUGAUAUUUGAGAAUUAUAUAUCUCAGGAACAAUUUUUUCACGCUGUUGCGUUUUCUUUAUGAUAAGAUGAGGAAUAUUUGUUGUAUCAGCGAAAAGGGAAAUCGUGGAGUCCGCCGGACGUAACAAUCGCACUAUUUAUUUAAUUUUAAGUAUUAUAUUUGUAAUUAAAUCGCUCAUUAUACAUUAGACUAUUUUUAAAGACGUUAUAAAUUAAAAUGUCACAUUCUGCGUUUAAUUUAUUUAAUUUUAUAAUACGUAUUCAUAAGGAAAAGGGGAACAAAAUUACAUACCAGUCUUAUACACCACGCUAAAAUCCGUACCAAACGAUGUUUGCUUCUGUUCGUUGUUCGUUUGGAGCCAAUAAUUUGUACGAAUAAAUUAACAUUAACGCUCGAAUUUUCUUCCCUCCUGGGACAUUGUACUCUAAUACCUGUAAUAAAAAUGUUUAAUAAAAUGUGUAAUAGAAAGAUA